GGUGAACGCUGGCGGCGUGCCUAAUACAUGCAAGUCGAACGCUUCACUUCGGUGAAGAGUGGCGAACGGGUGAGUAAUACAUAAGUAACCUGGCAUCUACAGGGGGAUAACUGAUGGAAACGUCAGCUAAGACCGCAUAGGUGUAGGGAUCGCAUGAACUCUAUAUGAAAAGUGCUACGGGACUGGUAGAUGAUGGACUUAUGGCGCAUUAGCUGGUUGGUAGGGUAACGGCCUACCAAGGCGACGAUGCGUAGCCGACCUGAGAGGGUGACCGGCCACACUGGGACUGAGACACGGCCCAGACUCCUACGGGAGACGGCAGUAGGGAAUUUUCGGCAAUGGGGGAAACCCUGACCGAGCAACGCCGCGUGAAGGAAGAAGUAAUUCGUUAUGUAAACUUCUGUCAUAGAGGAAGAACGGUGGAUAUAGGGAAUGAUAUCCAAGUGACGGUACUCUAUAAGAAAGCCACGGCUAACUACGUGCCAGCAGCCGCCGUAA
rnacentral:rRNA from 1 species